UCUCUGUGAUGAUUGACAACGAUGACGAGUCCGAUCUAUAUCCAUUCGAUCCACUAUUCUGACGACGAAUCGAGGCAUUUGUCUGAGAGAA
rfam:Vitis vinifera, whole genome shotgun sequence of line PN40024, unoriented chromosome 18, chr18